CAUCAUAAAAAUCUGUUGUCUUGAAACGUCGACAGUUGAACAAUGUCAAGCCUUCUUAUCACCGUCUGUUUUUUGGCGUUGUCUAUGGGAUUAAUCCGCAAUUUCGAUGGUGCGCCAAUAGAAGCCCACGCUGAUGCCAUACUAGCAAUUCCAAUAUUUAAUGACGGCGUUGAUAUUGUGAAGAAUGCGGACAUAAUUAGACAGAAGAGAUCUGAUUGUACAUGGUGUGGUUCCAGUACAAAACACGAUGAUGAUCCUGAUCAACCUGAAUAGUUCAUGAGAAAAGAUGACGUCAAUUUUCAAUUUAAUAUCAUAAGUUUUGUUUUUCUUUGUGUCGGUCAAUCGUUUUGAUCUAAUGAAUUAUAAAACAUUAAGAGGAAUUAA